UAAAUCACAAAACAGCUUAUGGCGGUGAAGGUGCAGCUAGUGACUCGAACCGUGUUUCUGAAGGUUUAGCACUAGAAAGAUGUAGGUAAAACAGAAGGCGGUAGCUGCCCUGGAGGUAAAGGUAAUAUGUUGUCAUUUUUUGGGUUGGUUAGUUUUUUUCAUCUGUAUAAAGUAGCGUAGACCUUGCGAAGGAACCAUUUGAAUGCGGAACAAGUGUUGGUGCGCUUGUGGUUUCCCAAGACCAUCCGCUCCGUGGUAACUUUGGGAAAUGCGCUAACUUGUUUAAUUGAUCCACUUUAUUUAAUACUAAGCACACACGUUUCUCGUAAUUCCGGAGAUCACAGCAUAGAUUAAUUGAUUAAACCUUAGCUAGCUGGUCGGGUUCCAAACCUGAGACUCUUCUGGAUGAAUCACCUACCUGCCGAUCCACCAGCAACGAUUUGACUUGACAUUAUUCCCAGACGUAAAACGGAGCCAGAAAGACUUCAAGCUCUCAACAGACAGGAGGGCUACCGUUGCCACGGAGACUGAGAGGCCCCGACAGCACCCACGUCUCUGCAAUACACGAAAGAUCUCCAGCUGGAAGCCUGACUAAAUUUCAGAAAGAGGUCUUUUGCUGUUGUGUUAGAGCAUUUGCAGUUGGACUGUUGGUGUUUCACGUGGUCUCAGACCCAUGAGUCAUGGUCUUUUUAGCAUAUGUCAGCACAUCACAAACUUGAAUCUCUCUAAAUGGAUGAAUCUCCUACCACCUUCUGAGGUGAGCUCAGUACAGUUCGUUUGUGGUUCGUAUUGUGGUCUGCUUGAUUCUUGCAUUGUGAAAAUGAAGCUUCCCUGGUUCGUUUCACUUUGUCAUUUAAAGCAAGUCUUAAGGCUCGUCAUAUGCUCCGAUAUUCAUGAGUCUCGAACAAUGUCUGCACAAUGAAUUGCGUGGCUCAAAAUUUGUCUAAUGCCUGUCUCUACUUUUACUUUAGUUUUGUUUUGGGUUUUUUUGUUGUUGUUUUUUACUGUUCUGGGAAUUUGAUCAGUUCUGUCAUAUCUUAGUUUUUUACUUUUUUUAAUCCACUUCAUUAAAAUGCAGACUCAACUAACAACCCA